rnacentral:rRNA from 1 species
UAGGGAAUCUUCGGCAAUGGGGGGAACCCUGACCGAGCAACGCCGCGUGAGUGAAGAAGGUUUUCGGAUCGUAAAGCUCUGUUGUUAAGGAAGAACGAGUGUGAGAAUGGAAAGUUCAUGCUGUGACGGUACUUAACCAGAAAGGGACGGCUAACUACGUGCCAGCAGCCGCGGUAAUACGUAGGUCCCGAGCGUUGUCCGGAUUUAUUGGGCGUAAAGCGAGCGCAGGCGGUCAAUUAAGUCUGAUGUGAAAGCCCCCGGCUCAACCGGGGAGGGUCAUUGGAAACUGGUUGACUUGAGUGCAGAAGAGGAGAGUGGAAUUCCAUGUGUAGCGGUGAAAUGCGUAGAUAUAUGGAGGAACACCAGUGGCGAAGGCGACUCUCUGGUCUGUAACUGACGCUGAGGCUCGAAAGCGUGGGGAGCGAACAG